UCAAAUUACGAGGAAAUGGAGACAGUUGAUGAAAUCAAAGAAUGGAACAAAACUAGCAAAAGUUGUAGUAGAAGACAAACACUGGUCCAAUAAUGGACUAUUUUUUUGGACAAGGAGAUUAAUUUGGGAAAUCCAUUUGUAGGACUGUGAAGAAAGCAGUGGGAAAUGUGGAUUAAAUCAAGGUGACUAGAAGCGCUGUUAUUUUGGUUAAUUGGGUCGAUGAAGAACAGAAGAAACAUGCACUAAUCUGGAAAAUUGUCCACGUCAGAAGUAACAUGUAUUGACCUUCGGAGCAGGGCGCCUGCCAAAGGAGGAAUAGCUGCAGUCCAAGUGUCCAAGAAGUCCAAUUAGCUGGGUUUCAUAUCUGCUGCAGCCAAGAAGAUUUUGGGGCUUGAAGACUUUACAGCAGAAGCACUACAGGUCUUGCCCUCCCAGGAGGCUUCUGAGGCUGUGUUGGACCUGUAGGUGGCGGAAUGCACAAUGUUGCGAACGCCAUUAUACCAUAGAAGAAAAAGAAGGAACGGAAGCUUACUUGGUUAUUCAUGAGAGGGUUUUGUGGGUUAAGUCCCCCGUGUGUGUAAACGGUUUCAUUUCUCUUCAAGAUGCGGACGACUCGAGAGAGAGAAUAUCCCGCUCAGAAAUGCAGGACAGAUGUCGGGAAGUCCAGAAGAAUGACACGUCUGCAUUACUUGUGACAUGACUUCCUGACUUCAAGGCAUCUGAACAGAAUCUCCACUUGGAGUUCCAUUCUGGAAUAGGAAUGUGUGCUGGAUACCUGGUUCCAGACCAUGAGACUGAUGCACUUUGUGAAAAUCCAGAUGUGGGGAUGAAGUUUCCUGAAGGGAUUAACACGACCUUCACUGUUGAGCUCGUCCAACAACUAUCAAACUGGGUUCCCCACUACGGGGUUUGGGUGCUGUGGUCCGUGGCAUUGCAGCGUGGACUCCAACAUACUGGUUCUUCUGUAUGUGGCUGAACAGGGAGCCGUGAUGCCAACUAGACUGGUCCUGAUGGUGUUACCAGACUAGUCACUAGAAGAUGCCUGUUACUGAACUACCUCAAGGUCCUGACUGUUGUACCAGACUGGCCACUAGAAGCUCUUUGCUGUGACAGUGAAUGAAGAUGUGGAAUCCAAGUUAUUUUGAUGUCCUUGUGGGUCUGCAGUCUUCAGGAAGGGAUCUGUUCCUUCCAGGUCCUGACUGUUCCAGUCUGGCCACUGGAGAACUG